GGCGAGUGAAGCGGCAAAAGCUCAAAUUUGAAAUCUGGCACCUUCGGUGUCCGAGUUGUAAUUUGAAGAUUGUAACCUUGGGGUUGGCUCUUGUCUAUGUUUCUUGGAACAGGACGUCACAGAGGGUGAGAAUCCCGUGCGAUGAGAUGCCCAAUCCUAUGUAAGGUGCUUUCGAAGAGUCGAGUUGUUUGGGAAUGCAGCUCUAAGUGGGUGGUAAAUUCCAUCUAAAGCUAAAUAUUGGCGAGAGACCGAUAGCGAACAAGUACAGUGAUGGAAAGAUGAAAAGAACUUUGAAAAGAGAGUGAAAAAGUACGUGAAAUUGUUGAAAGGGAAGGGUUUGAGAUCAGACUCGAUAUUUUGUGAGCCUUGCCUUCGUGGCGGGGUGACCCGCAGCUUAUCGGGCCAGCAUCGGUUUGGGCGGUAGGAUAAUGGCGUAGGAAUGUGACUUUGCUUCGGUGAAGUGUUAUAGCCUGCGUUGAUGCUGCCUGCCUAGACCGAGGACUGCGAUUUUAUCAAGGAUGCUGGCAUAAUGAUCCCAAACCGCCCGUCUUGAAACACGGACCAUG
rnacentral:rRNA from 1 species